rnacentral:lncRNA from 1 species
GUGGAAUGAUGUCAAGGGGAGCAACUUACUUUUAGGGUUUGUCAUGCUUAGUUUGUACUCAAAUAAAAAUCAAACGCAUGCACCUGAAAUAUUCCUCCACCAAAAAGAAAAAAAAAAAAAAAACCUCCAAAAACAACUAGAAUCCUUCUUUUGAUUGUACCCUCUUUCUUUCUAACCAUAAUUAUCAUUAUUUUAAACA